CUGUCGAAAUUCACAGAAACUCGUUACGGAAAUUGCCCUGCUAUGAAGAAAUUUGUAGCUUUGCAUCGGGUGAAUUCAUGGAAAACCUAAGUCUUAUCAAGGAUAUGGCAACCAUGAGCCAAGCCGAAGGAAGUCGAUAAAAGUACUUCGGAAGGUGCAACGCAUAGAUGGUGAGGACGACUACCAAUAAACCAUCCACGAGCGCCCGACACCCUGAACCAGAGGGUGAUGAGAUAUGCUGAACUGCAAGGAAACUUGCAG
rfam:Brevibacillus brevis NBRC 100599 DNA, complete genome.